AUUGAACGCUGGCGGCAGGCUUAACACAUGCAAGUCGAGCGGGGACUUCGGUCCUAGCGGCGAACGGGUGAGUAAUGCCUAGGAAUCUGCCUUGUAGUGGGGGAUAACGUUUCGAAAGGAGCGCUAAUACCGCAUACGUCCUACGGGAGAAAGGAGGGGAUCUUCGGACCUUCCGCUAUAAGAUGAGCCUAGGUCGGAUUAGCUAGUUGGUGGGGUAAAGGCCUACCAAGGCGACGAUCCGUAGCUGGUCUGAGAGGAUGAUCAGCCACACUGGAACUGAGACACGGUCCAGACUCCUACGGGAGGCAGCAGUGGGGAAUAUUGGACAAUGGGCGAAAGCCUGAUCCAGCCAUGCCGCGUGUGUGAAGAAGGCCCUUGGGUUGUAAAGCACUUUUAAGCGGGGAGGAAGGUUCGCUGGCUAAUAUCCAGCGGAAUUGACGUUACCUGCAGAAUAAGCACCGGCUAACUCUGUGCCAGCAGCCGCGGUAAA
rnacentral:rRNA from 1 species